GCGCGCUAACCUAGAACCC
rnacentral:snRNA from 1 species